GUAGGUGAACCUGCGGAAGGAUCAUUAACACGUGAUACUCACGUAUUAAAAACCCACCGAGAAAUUGUUAUAUAUCCUAUUGUUGGCUGCAGGUAGACGAAAUGAGGGAAUGCUAUUGGUCGCCUUUCGAAAGAUUGUACACCAUAACUCACUCGUCGCUCUUAGGUCCGCCCUGGAGCUUGCACCGACAAAUAGAUGACGAGUUACGACUGCUUAUUCAGCCUGUAGCAUAGCUUGCAGAUCGUAAUGAACUUUAUUAACCCCUUUUUACUAUUAUUUACUGAUUUUGUAUGUUUAUAUGAAUUCCUAACUUCGGUUGGUUGAGUUUAUAUAGAUGUCGUAUAUUACUAAUACGAAACAACUCUUAGCAACGGAUAUCUUGGUUCUC
rnacentral:misc_RNA from 1 species